CACCAGGCCAGUGCCGUUCCGAUGGUCAUUCCAAGCCAGUGCCGUUCUCCUUUGGCCGUCCCUGCUCCAGCCGUGAGCUCACCCAGGCCACGGCCUCGUCGAACCGCACAGCCCCUGCGCUCCUUCCCCAGCCGCGCUUGGCCCAGCCCUCCCUGCUCGAUCUCCUUCGAGCCGUAACGGCUCCCUGGCGUGUCCGGCUCCCUGCCCCUCUCCAUGGCGUCGCCCAGCUCUAGCUCGCCCCCCCUCUGAUCUGUGCGCAGGGGUUUCUUCCAUGGCGAGCUCCCCUGCAAACUUCAUCUAGCCGCCGGCCGAGUUUCCUUGGUGGUCGCUUACCCCCAGCAUCGGCCAGAGCUUGCUGUCAUUCCCCAACAAACAUGUGGUUGUAGGUGAGAGAUUUCAGAAGUCUGUUGGAUGAAGAAAAGAGAAGUGAAAUUUGUGCAGCGCCCGUCAGGUGUUAGGUUUAAUAGGUGAGCCGUUAAUCAUGGUUGCUUUCGCAACAUUUCAUGGGAUUUUGAUGUGAUGCUCUAUGACGAUGAGCCAUGUUUUCUGUAGAUAUUGUGUCUACCGUGUGAGGCAAUCGCGCCAGCUUCCUUUGGGUUUGGGACUGGGAGCUCCAUCGCUCUAUGGUAUGAACCACCUGUGUUUGUGACACCAAUGUAUAGGAUCCAUAUACUCUGUCCUAGAUUAAUUAGCAGUGUGUGAAUGCCACAGCAUACUCUGUCCUAGAUUAAUUAGCAGUGUGUGAAUGCCACAGCGGCGGUGCUCGCCCGUGUCUCAGCUGCCUUCAAUGGCCCCCUUGCCCGCGCAGUCGUCUUUGGGGUCCAUAUUGAUGGUAGUCCCUCUUUCUUUGUGUGUUCACAAGAUGGGUCGGCAGUUUUAGUGUCUCACACGCAGUGGCCACGGGAUUUUUCAGGUCACUUGAUCGUGGAAGGGCUUCUUAUUGCAGUCAUAGUGUUCCAGCUCUCCACGAAGAGCUACAAACCACUAAAGAAGCCACUCACUGAAAAGGAGAUUGAUGAGCUAUGUGAUGAGUGGGAGCCAGAGCUGCUAUGCCCUCCAAUCAAGGAGGGGGCCAAAAUAGAUGCUCCAACAUUGGAAAGUGCCGUUGGACCACAUACGAUUGUUGAUUGUUGAUGGUAAAGAAGUUGUGAACUUUGCAUCAGCAUGAGGUCUGGAGUCUAGACACAGUGUUGCAAACUGAGGUUUAAUCAUCUUAGCAACUACGGUACGUGACCCUGAGCGCGUGAUUGUUGCGAAACAACGACCACCUCGGUCUACACCUUAAAGGUUUGCGCGACAUGGCUUUUCAUAGUGCUCAAUUGGAUCUAUCCCCUGAGCAUAGGAGAAAAGUAUCAAUUUGUACAGUGGAUCCAAGUAUUCUAUAAAGCAUGCAUCCUCCAAUUUCCCACAAGCGAGAAUGGCAUGAUAUGAUGGAUGAAAUGGCUGUUGCGGUCAAUUGUCUUUAUCAAUUGUCUUUCAAGAACCACACUUUGUAUUGGUUUGUGUGCAGUUCAAGCUCUGCAAGGUGAGGUCUGUUCAGUUUGGCCAGAAAGUCAUCCCCUACCUGAACACCUACGACGACCGCACCAUCCGCUACCCCGACCCUCUCAUCAAGGCCAACGACACCAUCAAGAUCGAUCUGGAGACCAACAAGAUCAUGGACUUCAUCAAGUUGACUUCAUCAAGUUAUAUACUUAGUUAGGCUCAAUGUUAGCACAAACAGUUGAUGAGCAAGUUUAAAUUUAGAGUACACUUAUGUAUGAGUUAUUUGACAAUACUUAUUUAUGAGAUAUUGAAUAUUAUUUAUCUAUAUUA